CUUCCUCAUCAAUCCAUGGAGCCUUAACAGUUCUAACAGUUCGUUUCUUAACAAGUGGAUGUUUAUCAAUAAUUGGAAGAAGCAAUUUCAUAAAUUCAGAUGAAACUGACAAAACUCUGAAAGGUACGAUUAUAUGUCAGAUUUGUUCAAGCCUAAAAUGUUAGUCUAAUCGUAACGUGGUGUUCAUAUGUUCACAGAUGAAAUGUCAUGUUUACGUUUCACACAUUUCUUAUGAGCCUAACAAUUUACAUAUGGAUUUUCUUACUAUCCUAACGAUGCUAUCUGGCUCCAUACUGGCUCACCAAAAACAAGUGUCACGGAAAGCAAGCUUGGAUUUUGGCGUCACUCCUUCACUCCGCCAUUGACAGCAUACGUCAUUGACAGAUAAACUUGCAUUUUUGCAUUUCGUUGUGUUGUUGUCCCCCGGUGGCCCUUUCCUAAAUUAUCCAUGGAUGGAGAUAGGGAUUUGGACUUGUUGUUUUAUUUAUCCUCCGUAAUGGUGAUUCUGAUCCAACCAUUAAUUCAUACAUUGUUGUGCCACUGGCCUGAGAGGAUGGAAGUUCAAUAUGUAGCUACAGUAACGUUAGAUGUAACGUUAGAAGGCUAAUGUUGCCUCGAAUUGAAGUUAGGCUAGCGAACAAGCAUUUUAGCCAGGUAGCCUAGGACAACAAACAAAUAAAAGCGUGGACUGCUGUAUGACCGAGUGAUAAGACCGUGUCCUCAACAUGAAAGAGGAGGAUGGCAUUGGCGUUUUUCUACAAGUAGGGUGAGUCAACAUGUUUUUCUACUUGCACACAGAAAUCAAACCAGGACAGCCACAUCAUAUUUAGCUUACAUUGAUUGGACUAAAUUGUUUUGGUAUCUUUUUGUUGUGACUGUAUUAGACAAAGCAGAGGUGAUUCAAUGAUCAAAUGUUGAAGUUGAAAUGGUGCUGGAAUAGUGGAGGCAGCUCCCGUUUUCUUUGCGAUUUGCGAUAACACUGGUUCUAAUUCAAUAGUUGUUUAUUGGUCAUAAAAUGUUGGAACAUUAACUUGCUUGAUAAUGCCGUAGGUCAUGUAACUGCCUGUUACUGUACACGCAAUAUGCUUUGUGGACUUCAUUGGACAGAGCAAUCUGGUUUUGUGAUAAAACAAAGGUGUGGUUGAAUUUAUUCUGCCACUUUGUCUUCUUAUUGUCUCGGCCUUUAGACCUAUAUAUCACGGUCGCAAAGCAUAUGAAUUGGGUUAUAGCACAAUUACCACAACACAGGUUGUAAUAUGGCCUUUUUUUGUUGGGGGGGGGUUUGGCUUCACCAGUGAUUUUACCCAGGCACCGCUGCUGAUAGUCUACACCUGCUGAUUAGAAGCAUGUGUCAAGUACAAUUUUAUUUGAUUUUGAAGCAGCCUCUGUGUCUACCUUCAACUGCCAUGUGGUGGCGCCAAACUCUUCCUCUAAAUGAGGAUUUAUUAUGGCAGUGGAACGUUCCAUCCAAACUGUUCACCAGUCUUCCUCAUUAUUGUGCAUAUAAAUAGAGAUGUUUAUGAAAACACUGAGCAUAUUCACUGUCACUUAUGUAUGCUAAUUUCAAUAAUUCAAGGUUCAUUUGUUUCAUAAGGUUCAUUUAGGGGUACAUUCUUAGAGAACUGCUAUACAUUUUGCCCACUGUUAAAGGGAAUAAAGUGACAGUUCAAUAAAGUGUUUUUUUUUUUUUUUUUUUAGCAAUGAGGAGUUCAGCCUUUGAGCCUUCAUUAGGGCCAAUAGGCUGUCCUGUCAUCUACCUGGUAAACCCUCACCUUCAUUAGGGCCAAUAGGCUGUCCUGUCAUCUACCUGGUAAACCCUCUAACCUUCAUUAGGGCCAAUAGGCUGUCCUGUCAUCUACCUGGUAAACCCUCACCUUCAUUAGGGCCAAUAGGCUGUCCUGUCAUCUACCUGGUAAACCCUCUAACCUUCAUUAGGGCCAAUAGGCUGUCCUGUCAUCUACCUGGUAAACCCUCACCUUCAUUAGGGCCAAUAGGCUGUCCUGUCAUCUACCUGGUAAACCCUCUAACCUCCAUUAGGAUCAAUAGGCUGUCCUGUCAUCUACCUGGUAAACCCUCACCUCCAUUAGGGCCAAUAGGCUGUCCUGUCAUCUACCUGGUAAACCCUCACCUUCAUUAGGGCCAAUAGGCUGUCCUGUCAUCUACCUGGUAAACCCUCUAACCUUCAUUAGGGCCAAUAGGCUGUCCUGUCAUCUACCUGGUAAACCCUCACCUCCAUUAGGGCCAAUAGGCUGUCCUGUCAUCUACCUGGUAAACCCUCACCUCCAUUAUCUCAUCUCCUGGCUCUGGAGCCUGUGGACAGAUUAAGACUUGAGUUGUCUAUCUGAGACUCCAGGGUUUAAUGUUGACCUGUCCUGCUGCCUUUAGAAACCCAUCCUCUUAUAUCUCAUCCUGACCUAUGGAGCUGGCUGCCAUAAUCUGUCCCCCAACGGAUAGUACGCUAGUUACUGUACCUCCAGUCUUAGACAUAUGUUCCAAUUAUCUCUCCUUCCUCCACAAGUUAGCACAAGUGUUCACUGAUUUGAAUGGAAAUGACUGGAAUAAUAAAUAUGGUAGAAAUUCAAACUAGAACAGUGAUGGACAACUUUGAUGGGAGUGGGGAACACACAAAAAAAUCAGAACUCAUCAGGAGGGUAGUGGCUCCCACACAUGCAGUGAGCCAGCCCUAGCCUUUUUGGGGGCCUUAUGUGGAAUUUUCUACACCCACCCAGUUUGGGAAACUCACUAGUACACCCUCUAGUGUCCUCAAAUUCUAAUCCAGACCUCCAAGACAGUUCCAUCAUUGUUUUUUACACAUGCUCUAGUUCAAAAAAGGUCUGUUUACCAAAACAUGUGCUGUACCUUCCCAGCUGCAACUAAGGUUUUGCAUAGAGAAGGGUAACUCUAUUGGUUGACUGAUCCUCCCAGUAUCCAUCCAUGUCUAAUUUAUUCAUCCAGUAAUGUCUGAUCUAUUUUCAAAGAAUUUGUGUCAUUGCCUUUACUGAUCCUGUUGAUUGUGUUGGAGCCAAUGUACAGUACUUUCCCCUUAAAUUCAACACUAAAUCAUUAACUGGUACCUGUACGUCACUGCGGACUCUGUAAUAGGUGGAGCGCAGCAUAAGACCCACAGACGGUCUAAUAAUGUGCAGUCUGCUGACACUGGAUGACUGGAAACAGCAGAGAUUAAGGAGCUAUGGAUUAUGGUUGUCUUUGCUACAGUCUCUUUACUACAGGGGGAUCUCAGCACAUCCUCUGCCAUUCCAACCACCAUUGACAAAACUACCCCAACUACUACUGCCCGUUUAACGCCUGACUCUCCAGCUACUGACUCUCCAACUGCUGUUUACCUAAAUACUACUGGUCUUCCAACUACUGGUUACCCUACCUCUAUCACUAGUAUCAUUCUCCCCUCUCCCACCACAACCCCUCCUCUGGUCUGUAUCAACAGUGGUGAGCUGCAGAGUGGAGUCUGUAUCUGUCCGGAUGAGUGGACCGGAGAGACCUGUUCAGAGGAGAAUUUCUGCAAUUCCACCAUCAAGGAUGGAUUCUCCUUCCCAAGAACAGUGGUUGACUGGUCUGCUUAUUCAGAAGAGUUAUGUGAUGAGAAGACAACCAGUGGUGAACAUCAUCACUCCCCAAUCAGUCAACAAUCAAUCAUCA